rnacentral:rRNA from 1 species
UGAACCUUCGGGGAACGAUAACGGCGUCGAGCGGCGGACGGGUGAGUAAUGCCUAGGAAAUUGCCCUGAUGUGGGGGAUAACCAUUGGAAACGAUGGCUAAUACCGCAUGAUGCCUACGGGCCAAAGAGGGGGACCUUCGGGCCUCUCGCGUCAGGAUAUGCCUAGGUGGGAUUAGCUAGUUGGUGAGGUAAGGGCUCACCAAGGCGACGAUCCCUAGCUGGUCUGAGAGGAUGAUCAGCCACACUGGAACUGAGACACGGUCCAGACUCCUACGGGAGGCAGCAGUGGGGAAUAUUGCACAAUGGGCGCAAGCCUGAUGCAGCCAUGCCGCGUGUAUGAAGAAGGCCUUCGGGUUGUAAAGUACUUUCAGUCGUGAGGAAGGCGGCGUCGUUAAUAGCGGCGUUGUUUGACGUUAGCGACAGAAGAAGCACCGGCUAACUCCGUGCCAGCAGCCGCGGUAAUACGGAGGGUGCGAGCGUUAAUCGGAAUUACUGGGCGUAAAGCGCAUGCAGGUGGUUUGUUAAGUCAGAUGUGAAAGCCCGGGGCUCAACCUCGGAAUAGCAUUUGAAACUGGCAGACUAGAGUACUGUAGAGGGGGGUAGAAUUUCAGGUGUAGCGGUGAAAUGCGUAGAGAUCUG